CGGUUAAACUCCGCCAUUUUGCCUCUUAGUGCUCAUGCUUGAGCCCGCUUGCCCAACUCCUGAGAUGUCAUCGGGAAGCUGCUGAUCAGCAAUUACAGGUGUUUCUGUGUAUUGAGAGACUGCCUUUCCCUGGCAUUGAUCAAUUAUUUUUUUAGAGAGAUACUUAACAACUACCUCACCAUCACUUGAUGGUUGCCUGACAUUCCUGAUUGGUGAGGGAGAGAGGGAGGGAGUCAGGGGGCUCUCCUGCCCUGUUCCUGUCUGACUAGCUACCUGCUGUAACAAUUAUACUAGUACUAGUGAUAAACCUAUCACUUGUGCCUAUGACAGGGCCUUGCACAAGGUAGAUAACCAAUGAUUAUGGUUGAAUUAAUAAACAAGGCCUCUCUUAUGCCCCUAAAAAUGCAGAGAUGCUCUUCUCACGUCUCAUUCGGAAUCUACUCUCAAUUAUAUAUAAGACGGUAAGAUUAGUCAACUCACUCUCAUCAGGUGGUUAACGUGCUAGUGGUUAAUCCAAUCCAAUUACUUGUUCAAAUAAUUAGACCCAUGCUGGAUGUGUUCUUUCAGCUCAGCCCCGCCUUCUCUGAAACUAUCUCAGAACCAGUGGCUUUGGUUGGGCACUGGAAGUACAUAAAGAAGAAGACAUACAUGCUGUCUCAGGGUGAUCGUGGGUCUCUAGCCAGGAGUCAGAUGACAUCACCACCAUCACAAGCUGGUGAUGCCAGAGAGAGGAAAUGUUCCAACACAUCUGAGGAAACACAUGCCUUCCCAGACUGGCCUGAUGCUGUUUCCCAGGAGCUGCAUUCUGGAAGGUGGACCAUCAGGUGGAAGAAGUAUUCUUCAGAGAGCUGCCUUCCCAAGGGAAUGGUGACAGCUUGCGCUUGCCGGGGAGUCCUGCUGCCUUCCGAGGUGUGAAGGGAAGGCAUGCACUGUGCAUAUGCUGUACCAUACAGUUUUGCCUACAACUGCUUGUAGCUUCAUUGUAGCUGUGAAUGCUCCGUUCCUCUCCUUUUCACCCCUGAAGAUUCGCGAACAUGCAGGAUUGAGCUGUGCGAGGCAUAGCAUUCCCCACAUGGUAGACGAAGGCGGAUGUGGGUCUGAUGGCUCUACCGCCGUCCACCCGGGCUGAUGGACGUGUGUUCCGGGAUAUCAGAGCUUGCGGCUGACCAGCCCACAUGUCCACGCAGCCCUCCCGCUGGCUGUGUUGACAUUUUGGGUGUCACUGAAGGAUUUUACUGGUGCAGACUUUACAAAGGCAAAAUUGUUUCUCAAGGAAGUGGACAUGAAAGAUCUAAAAUCAGGGCUGCUUAAAAAAAGCAAGCACAGAUUAAUGACCUAUCUAUAUCCUACACGGUUUUAGGACUGCGCCUAGAUGGGCUUAAAGACCCUAGCCUAAAAACUGUAAAUGUGCUUCCGUCUUUGCCCUGUAGGACAAGAAAGCCUUACGGACUUGCUUCUAACUGUGAGAGGAGGAGAGGCCGGGAAGGGAGAGGGAGAAAAGGAGGAGAACAGGAGACGAGAAGGAGGGGAGAGUGAGGAGAGGAGGAGAGAGGCUUGUCAAAAUCUUUUUAGUGCACAAAACUAAUUUUGUUCAUCUUGGAUUUGGUGAGCUGGGUAAUAUUCUGUGCACGGCUCCUAAAUGAAUUAUUAAAUGUCAACUCAAGAUGGCUUAACUAAAAUACUCAAUUUAAUAACCAAAAGUAUCUAAGGUAACAACAACAAUUUUGCAGGUGAUUGUAGAGUUGUCAAGUCAAACCAUUAUAGACAAGCAUUUGGGGUUUUCACAUAAUCUCCUUCCACAUCUCAUCUUCUGUCACUAAAUACCCACUCUGGUGAGCAUAUUCCAUUUCAAUAAAGAUCAUUGCUUCGGUGCCAGCUUCUUUUUAUUCAGAUUGAGCCAGAAAACCUUUUUUUUUUCUCUAAAAUAUAAAGCUAAACAAGAUCUCAGUCACAACCACCAAAUCUUUAUUAAUGCAUUCCUUGUGC
ensembl:lincRNA